rnacentral:rRNA from 1 species
CAGGGAAUCUUCCACAAUGGACGAAAGUCUGAUGGAGCAACGCCGCGUGAGUGAAGAAGGGUUUCGGCUCGUAAAACUCUGUUGUUAAAGAAGAACAUAUCUGAGAGUAACUGUUCAGGUAUUGACGGUAUUUAACCAGAAAGCCACGGCUAACUACGUGCCAC